UCCUCUCCCUGCAUUUAUUUAGUCCGGAAGUGUUUUCUUUGGAGACUAAAACACCAUAACGAAUAUUUUACCUGAAUUGUUGCCAAUUUCACAUUAUUGUGCCCUGAAAUUUUAACGCUAUACUCGUCCGUGUGUUGCACGCGUGGAUUAUGAGAGCACCAUUCGGAGGGGGGAGCACAGCGUGAACUGUUGUGAAACCUAGACCUGACCAGACCAAAUCUAAACCAAUCAUGGACGUCUAGAUGUUUGGGCCAAAUGAAGGCCGGUCCAGAUAUCUCUGCACGUUGAAAUCAAGACAAGGGCAGACUGACCAAAUUUCAACUACUUUUCAACGUCCAUGGACGUCCGGUGUUGGUCGGUGUUCGGUGGGUGAGGAUGCCGGUUACAGUAAAUGGAAAGACGGGGCUCAUGGAGUCUCCGUGAGUCAUCUAUAUGGGCCAUCUUCUCUCGAAAAAUGGUUACCGCCUGAACAAGAGGACACACAAGCUGCACCACAGGAAGAAGAAGAAGAGGAACUGCUUCCUGCAGGGGCCCUGCAUGCUCUGCUUCAUCGUCCACGGCAACAGCGGGGGCCUUGACGACGACGACAGCGACCAAUUGGAGACCGGGGUCAACGGCGGAGGCAGAGGACGUUGUCACAGCAACGCAGGUGGUACCGGAAUCGGAAGCACCUCAAAGCUCGCUGGGCGGUACGCUGCUCUCACUUCCCCUGAGGACUGUGCCAAGUUCCUGCUGUCGCCAAGGGAACUAGCCAUCUGGGAGGGCCAAGGGAGGAGUCUACUGUCGGCCGUGCCGGCUAAGCUGAUUCCACCGCCAGCGCUGUUCCGGAGUGCAGGGAUUCCAGUGCCCAUAGCUGUGGCUGUUUCUGUGCCUGGUAGUACCAGUGACUACGCUGAGAUGGUGUGUAAGAGGAAGUGUGCGGAGGUGCAGAGGUGCACACCCUGUAAGCAGCCGCGAUGUGCCUUCCCUGUCCCUGAGGGAGGUGUGGAGGAUGGAGGAGGAGGAGGAAGUGGGGAUGCCUCCUCUAACUCCGGGACUGGCCACUGCCACCUCUGCCCCCUGCCCUCAUCCUCUUCCUCCUCAUCCUCGUCUGUCGAGGGCUGCUGUGGGAUGGCUCUCCAUGGUGAUCCGCUGCCCCAGAGUUCUGACUCCUCCCCCUGCUGUCUGCAUCACCAUGACGACUGCCAGGGGAGAGGCAGUGACGUGAUUGACACAUCCAGCAUCAACCGCCUCCCCUCCUCCAUCCUGCUUAAGGUGUUCUCCCACCUGUCGGUGAAAGAGCGCUGUCUGUGUGCCUCGCUGGUCUGUAAGUACUGGAGGGACCUCUGCUUAGACUUCCAGUUCUGGAAGCAAAUUGACCUCAGUGGCCUACAACAAGUAAAUGAUGACCUCCUGGUGAAGAUAGCUUCUCGGAGGCAGAAUGUGACGGAGUUAAACAUCUCUGACUGUCGUGACGUGCAGGACCACGGUGUGUGUUCCCUGGCGGCCCACUGCCCGGGCCUUCAGAGGUACACAGCUUACCGCUGUAAACAGCUGAGUGACCUGUCUCUCAGCUCCCUGGCCUUACACUGUCCUCUGCUGGCCAAGGUCCAUGUUGGAAACCAGGACAAACUGACAGACGACGCACUCAAAAAGUUAGGAGAACACAGUUCAGAGUUGAAGGACAUCCACCUGGGCCAGUGCUACAGUAUUACUGAUGAGGGGAUGGUGGCUCUGUCCAAAGGAUGUCCCAAGCUGCAGAGAAUCUACAUGCAGGAGAACAAACUGGUGACUGAUAAGUCAGUGAGGGCGUUUGCCGAGCACUGUCCUGAGCUGCAGUUUGUGGGCUUCAUGGGCUGUUCUGUGACAUCACUGGGAGUCAUCCAUCUUACUGGGGUGGCGAAUCGCAUCUCUGCAUGUCUGGCAGACAUAUCAGUGUGGAUGACGGAUCACCACCUCAAGCUGAACCUCGGCAAGACGGAGCUGCUCUUCCUCCCGGGGAAGGACUGCCCGUUCCAUGAUCUCGCCAUCACGGUUGACAACUCCAUUGUGUCCUCCUCCCAGAGCGCUAAGAACCUUGGCGUGAUCCUGGACAACACCCUGUCGUUCUCAACCAACAUCAUGGCGGUGGCCCGUUCCUGUAGGUUCAUGCUCUACAACAUCCGCAGAGUACGACCCUGCCUCACACAGGAAGCGGCGCAGGUCCUAAUCCAGGCACUUGUCAUCUCCCGUCUGGAUUACUGCAACUCGCUGUUGGCUGGGCUCCCUGCCUGUGCCAUUAAACCCCUACAACUCAUCCAGAACGCCGCAGCCCGUCUGGUGUUCAACCUUCCCAAGUUCUCUCACGUCACCCCGCUCCUCCGCUCUCUCCACUGGCUUCCAGUUGAAGCUCGCAUCCGCUACAAGACCAUGGUGCUUGCCUACGGAGCUGUGAGGGGAACGGCACCGCAGUACCUCCAGGCUCUGAUCAGGCCCUACACCCAAGCAAGGGCACUGCGUUCAUCCACCUCUGGCCUGCUCGCCUCCCUACCAUUGAGGAAGUACAGUUCCCGCUCAGCCCAGUCAAAACUGUUCGCUGCUCUGGCCCCCCAAUGGUGGAACAAACUCCCUCACGACGCCAGGACAGCGGAGUCAAUCACCACCUUCCGGAGACACCUGAAACCCCACCUCUUCAAGGAAUACCUAGGAUAGGAUAAGUAAUCCUUCUCACCCCCCCCCCCCCCCUUAAUGAUUUAGAUGCACUAUUGUAAAGUGGCUGUUCCACUGGAUGUCAGAAGGUGAAUUCACCAAUUUGUAAGUCGCUCUGGAUAAGAGCGUCUGCUAAAUGACUUAAAUGUAAAUGUAAAUGUAAAUGUUAAUUUGGACUGAUUUUACUCCCUUCUAGAUAGAGGGGCGGAAUGUUCCAUCUGUCCGUAUCUGCUCUAAUUCUAUUGAUACAAUACAUUUUAGUGUAAUUUGCUUCAUACAAAUGAUCUAGACGAGCAGGUAUGGUAAUUCAUAAAUAUCUUCUACUACAAUUUGGCCAUUUUAAAUGACAGCAAGGCUUUUGCUUGCUGUGAAAUGUCGCCUCCUAUUUUCAUGGCCUCUGUCAACAUUUACUUUGUACCCUGAGUAAUGACCAAACUAUUUAAUAAUCUACAUGGGAUGGAUGCCUGUGGCUAAGAUAAAUAGAGGAGAAUGUCAUCUGCAUAUAGGGAAAUCUUAUGCUCCUCUCCACCAAUCUUAAUACCUUUUUUAAUAUCCUCUUCAUCCCUUAUCAUUUGGACUAAAGGUUCAAUACAGUUAUCAAACAGUAGGGGGUUCAAUCCGUAACCAAGUAUUGUCCCGCUUUCCAGAAUAAAAUAAUUGGAUAUAGCACUGUUUGCAUGAACUGAGGUUUUUGGAUUUGAAUAAAGUAUUCUUAUCCACAGGGAUGCAAACUAGUCAUCUUCAGGGGAAAUUUGCCGUUUUGAAUCCAAAAUAGGUGACCUACGUGAUUCGUGUAGAUCCGAUAAGAAAAGUUUCGAUGACUACUGGCUGUAUGCGAAUGAGUGAUAUGCGUAUUAGCAAUACUGGCUGUAUCCAAGGCUCAGCCAAUCGUUCACAUAACAACAUAAUGCAGCACGCGACUGAAGAGAGAGAAGACAACCAAUUUGCUAGUUUUACAGCAUCCGCGCGGGAGAGUGGAAAGGCAGUUUGUCAUUUAAUUUACAGCAGCGCGUCCCCUGAACGAUAACGAUAGGUAGGUGAGAAGCCUGACCACGGAGACAUGGGUGGGAAGGGGAUGAAGCGUACUUCAUGAGCUGUAACCGAAAAACAACUGGCAUUUAGAAAGUUUGAGGUGAGGGAGAAAGUGUGGUGGACCAAGUAUUGUUCGCAUUGUUAAGUAUCUUGCAAGCUGGUUCAAAUGAUCUGUUAGCUAGCCAGAGAAAUCAUGGGCAUUAGCCAAUUUAAUUGAUAAAAAUGAGUUUAUGGGGUGAAAAUUGGCUGGCUAAUAAAGUCAGACCGAUAACAUUACAACGUCAGAUGAGCUAACGUUAGUAAUCUAACCAAUCCGCUACGACUCCUUGCCUUUCAUCAAGUUAUAAUGCGUUAGCUGCUUACUGGACCCUGGCAAUCUGUGUGAAAUGUCAGUUUGUUUGUUAGCUAACUAUAACUAGUUAUCUGUGCACUAAUGUUUUCCCUCUACAGUAUGUGGUUUAUUUUCUGAAUGAGAAAAUUAGGUGAAAAUGAGGCGUUGCUUGUUAAAACAAGUGGAUUCAGGGAUGAAGUGGAGCUGGGCCUGGCUUAAACUGGAUGCCACCAUAGAGCUGCGUAACCUGAGCAGCCUGGACCUGCGGCACAUCUCCGAGCUCAACAACGAGACCGUGAUGGAGGUGGUCCGAAAGUGUA